rnacentral:lncRNA from 1 species
AUGAUGAAGUCCGCUCUUGCAGUCCUGCUCCUCAUCCUCAGUGCAGCUUUCCUGGAAGGAAUGCCAACCUCCAGCAGGGGACGCUGUUUGUGUCAAGGAAGGCGCAUGAUAAGAGUCAACAUGUUGGAUGUUGCAGAAGUGGAAUACCACCGGUCAAGCCCCAGCUGUUCUGAGGACGAGUUAAUAAUUUUUUUCAAAACGAAUGGGAAGACAGGAUGCCUUGACAUCACUAAGAAGCAGGGAAGGAUCAUAAAAGAGGCUAUUAUGAGGAAAAGGAAGCAAAGACAAGAAUGGAGAAGUAUAUGAAAAUUUGAGUGUUCAUUUCGUUACAGAGGAAGACUCAUAAUACAGUUCAAACUGGGUCUCAGGGUUUAAAUUAUUCGGACAUCUCCUUGAGAACAUUCUGCCUGACUCUUGAAGGACUCUAAAAACCAUCAGCCUUGUUUAACAAACAUCUUGCUCUCACAAAUCUACAGGGAUUCUGUAACAAAGCUAUUCCGCCGUCUGUCAAGAUCAGAGUUAGUCUUAGGGAAAUAGAAAAGUGUUUGACCUCAAGGACAGUGAUGUCGCACUUGUUAUUUUUGUUAUAUUUCCUGCUUUUUUACAUUUUUAGGAAGAACGUUGUCCCACUGUCAGGUCAUGUUUAUCUCUUUCUUUCUGGGCAUUUGUGUAAGCUAUUAGAGUUAGAAAAUAGAUAUUUCCUCUGUUGGCUUUGCCCACUUGGUGUGUUGUACUACAAUGCCCAUUACAAUAGAGUCUCACUUAUCCAACACUCGCUUAUCCAACGUUCUGGAUUAUCCAACGCAUUUUUGGAGUCAAUGUUUUCAAUAUAUCGUGAUAUUUUGGUGCUAAAUUUGUAAAUACAGUAAUUACAACAUAUCAUUACUGCAUAUUGAACUACAUUUUCUGUCAAAUUUGUUGUAUAACAUGAUGUUUUGGUGCUUAAUUUGUAAAAUCACAACACUAAUUUGAUGUUUAAUAGGCUUUUCCUUAAUCUCUCCU